UACGUAGGGGGCAAGCGUUGUCCGGAUUUACUGGGCGUAAAGGGCGCGUAGGCGGUCAGCACAAGUCAGUUGUGAAAUCUCCGGGCUUAACCCGGAAAGGUCAACUGAUACUGUGCGACUAGAGUGCGGAAGGGGCAACUGGAAUUCUCGGUGUAGCGGUGAAAUGCGUAGAUAUCGAGAGGAACACCUGCGGCGAAGGCGGGUUGCUGGGCCGACACUGACGCUGAUGCGCGAAAGCCAGGGGAGCGAACGGG
rnacentral:rRNA from 1 species